rnacentral:rRNA from 1 species
GAUGAACGCUGGCGGCGUGCCUAAUACAUGCAAGUCGAGCGAACGGACGAGAAGCUUGCUUCUCUGAUGUUAGCGGCGGACGGGUGAGUACCCGUGGGUAACCUACCUAUAAGACUGGGAUAACUUUGGGAAACCGGGACCAAUACCGGAUAAUUUUUUUAACCGCAUGGUUUAAAAGUGAAAGACGGUUUUGCUGUCACCUAUUGAUGGAUCCGCGCUGCAUUAGCUAGUUGGUAAGGUAACGGCUUACCAAGGCAACGAUGCAUAGCCGACCUGAGAGGGUGAUCGGCCACACUGGAACUGAGACACGGUCCAGACUCCUACGGGAGGCAGCAGUAGGGAAUCUUCCGCAAUGGGCGAAAGCCUGACGGAGCAACGCCGCGUGAGUGAUGAAGGUCUUCGGAUCGUAAAACUCUGUUAUUAGGGAAGAACAUAUGUGUAAGUAACUGUGCACAUCUUGACGGUACCUAAUCAGAAAGCCACGGCUAACUACGUG